rnacentral:snRNA from 1 species
UACUGUUGGCUGUGACAUCUGUCACCUUCUGGAUCAUCGGGUUGAUCAGGCUGGGGAGGCGGGCGUCCCCUUCCGUGCCACGUGUGUCUCUCUCCAAGCAUAUUUCCCUUGGUCGAAGAAGACGCCCUUCCUGGGAGAGGAGGACCGGCCUUUGGGCAGGGUCUCGAGCAGCUGCACCCCCGGUUGGAACCUCCAACAAGCUCUCAAGACAUUUACUGUGCCACUUCCAUAUCCCCUAUUCCAUCUGAGGGCUCCAGAAGGCUGGAUUUUU